rnacentral:misc_RNA from 1 species
UAAUAACGGCCCCGCCCCAAAAGGGGGCCCAGAUCAUUACGGAGACAUCGCCCUCACGGGAGCGCUCUCCCGCCUAUGUAUUAAACCUUUGUUGCUUUCGGGAGCGGCUUCGGCCCCGGCCCUUGCUGGGCGCCCUUGCCAGGAACACCACCCGUUUAUUAGGGUCGGUGCGGCCAUAAAUCGCCCCACUUCCCCCGGAUCCUUGGUCCCGCUCAUCAACCCGCAAUGCCAAAUCUGUAAUCAGAUUCGGCUCUCAAGUUUACGCCCUGCCCGGUGUUCCGGGGCUGCUGUCGGCGCAACCACCCAGGCCGCUGGGUGGCCCCCCGCCCGCCGGCUAAAGCGGGGGGGGCCCCCGCGCAGGGGGUAUCUCCCCCACCGCCCUCGGCGGGGGGCGGCAACCCCCCCCCCAAGUGGGGGUGGAACAGGAGGAUUCCCCCCUAAUUUUAGGUUAUCAAAAAGGGGGGGAAACCGGGGCCGCGCCCC